UGGGGAAUAUUGGACAAUGGGGGAAACCCUGAUCCAGCGACGCCGCGUGAGUGAAGAAGUAUUUCGGUAUGUAAAGCUCUAUCAGCAGGGAAGAUAAUGACAGUACCUGACUAAGAAGCCCCGGCUAACUACGUGCCAGCAGCCGCGGUAAUACGUAGGGGGCAAGCGUUAUCCGGAUUUACUGGGUGUAAAGGGAGCGUAGGUGGUAUGUCAAGUCAGAUGUGAAAACCCAGGGCUCAACCCUGGGACUGCAUUUGAAACUGGCAUACUAGAGUGCAGGAGAGGUAAGUGGAAUUCCUAGUGUAGCGGUGAAAUGCGUAGAUAUUAGGAGGAACACCAGUGGCGAAGGCGGCUUACUGGACUGUAACUGACACUGAGGCUCGAAAGCGUGGGGAGCAAACA
rnacentral:rRNA from 1 species